rnacentral:rRNA from 1 species
UACAGAGGGGGCAAGCGUUAUUCGGAAUUAUUGGGCGUAAAGGGCGCGUAGGCGGCUUGGCAAGUGGAUGGUGAAAUCCCUCGGCUUAACCGAGGAACUGCCGUCCAAGCUGCUUUGCUUGAGGCCGGGAGAGGUGAGUGGAAUUCCCAGUGUAGCGGUGAAAUGCGUAGAUAUUGGGAGGAACACCAGUGGCGAAGGCGGCUCACUGGACCGGUACUGACGCUGAUGCGCGAAAGCGUGGGGAGCAAACGGG